rnacentral:lncRNA from 1 species
CGGAAGUCUAACAUAUGAAUUUUAACUCUAGCCUCAGCUCCGUCCCGUCAGCACCAGCCAGCCAACCUGAAAACAUUUGAAAGUAUUUUUGGGCUAAGUACUAAUGUACUUAGUGGGCAUGCAUUUUCAUAAACAUUUCAUAUUUUCGUAAGAGCAGUUUAUCCAAUUAUACUUGACAUGACUUAGAAGGUUUUAAAAUGAAAGAAGUACUUCUAAGCAUGUUAAAACAUUUUUCAUUUGUGCGCACAUGUCACACUCCCUUUCUGUUACUCGCUGUGAUCCCGGACCUCUAGCCACCGACGGAUCCAUUUCUCCCAUUGCACUUGCCCUGAGGACGUAACUCAGACAAGUUGAAUUGACCUCGGGACGCUACCCAGGCAGGCCUUACAUGAUACAUGCUCCGGAACACAUCCAGCCAAGCACCCUUAUAACGCCUCUUACAUGAAUUAGUGCCCGAUGGAGAUCAACCCACCGAAACAACUAACAAGUGUACACAAUUCUCAAAUAGCGUGUUAGGCCAUAAGAGAACCUCGAUCGAUCCAUGAAUUGCGAGCCUUAAACAGAGCAGAGUGCACAUAAACAUUUUAUUGGAUAAACAGUUUUCAUUUCAUUAAAUAAACAGUUUGCAUUUCAUUGAAACAUUUAGAGCUUAAUAACUCAAUCAUACUUUGUACAUUUGGAAAGUAAGCCCACCUGGUUAGGCAAAGCCUGAAGAUCAUAAUCACAUAUAAACCUGUCUUGGGAAAGCAGCGCUAAUCCCCCCUGGUCACAAAGCCUACAAGAAAUUCUAUUCUUAAUAGGUCUCGUGAAGCUAAUCUUAAGUCAUGGUGUAGUGCUUAAUAUUCUAUGAUUCACUUAGCCGGGUUUUCAAAAUUUAAUGAAUAAAUAAUUAAAAACAUUUCUCUUGAGUUAAGAACACCAACAAUAUUCUUACUCAUCUUUUUUUAAUAAUUGGAAUUAUAAUUAAAACCAAUUAAAUCGUAAAUACUUUUUAUUGUAAAAUGCUAAUGCAAUUUCAUGACAUGCUUAAACAUAUAAUAAAUAAUUACACUUAAAAUAUGCAAAUAAUAAUAAUAUAAUAUUAUUAUGCAAAUCAUCUUUAAAUAAAUAAUCAAAUUAAUAUGAUAGUCUAAUUAAAUAAAAUGGUAGAGUCCCUUUAAAUAAAAAUCUGCACAGCCCAAGUUAAUUAAACAAUAAUAGGGCCCAUCUGAUAAAUAAAUUAAAAACUAGCCCACACAGAAGCCCAACAGCCCAACUAACUCGGCCCAAAACUCAAAACCUAGCCCAACACCUUCUUUUCUUCUUCCUCACCCCACGCUGAUUCUUUUCUUCUUCUCAAAUCUCUCUCUCACGGUUCCUCACCAAAUCCGCCACACACACCACGCUGAUCUCUCUCUCACGAGCUCCGCCGCCACGGAAUUCGCCGGAGGAGCAGCGGCGAUAGGCCGCGCCACCCUCGGCUCUCCCUUCACUCACCGAAACCCGGCGCCCCUGUAACGCCCCCCCUUCCCCCUUUUUCUCGCGUGGUCAGACACGCAACACACACAAGCACAGACGGCGGUGCACACAGGCCCCGGCCGCCAUCUCCCUCCGGCGAACUGACAGCGGUAAGCCGCCGUGCCGUUUCAGAACCCAGACCCCAAACCACGACCGCUCUCUCUCAGCCCCCAAAGUCCAGAUCGAAAAUUCACCCCUCCCCUCUUCUCCUUCGGCCACCGUGACCAGCCACCAGGUGUCGCCACCCUCGACUCCCUCGACUUUCUCUCUUUUCUCUCUGGAUCGACGGGCAGCAGCUAAGCCACCAUCACCGGUACCCUCCACUCUCUCUCAUCUCCUUCUACCCUUCGCAACGUCAAGGCGCUGCUGCCCCCCUGCAACUGCCCUAGGUUCCCAAAAUCAGACGCCACCCUUUCCUGUCUAUACCACUCAGUUUUCCGGCGACAGUAUAGCUACCAGGCCACUGCCGCCGUUCUCUCAUCCCUCUGCUCAACUCCGGUCGAUAGCAGCAGCCAAUCAGCUGCCACUAUCGCCGCCGUCUGCUGGCCCGACAACCCACUCGGACUAAAACAGGACACGCGCAACAUGAAACCAAGAUUUCUCCAAUUUGUUGUAUUCAAAACAGGGAGCAAGAUUUGAUUUUUCUUUGCUUUUGAUUAUCUAGAUUCAUGGCUUUGUUUGAAAAUAUAGCAUAUUAGAUGAAUUCUCUUAUUCAUUCUAUGCACACGAAUAUAUAUACACACAUGAGUGAAUGAGUUGCUUUCAUUUGAUUGAGUGUGUUUGGUUAGUGCUCUGUGAAACAAGAAGAGAUGUGCUUGAAUGAAAAGUCAAAUAAAGUUGAGAUAAACCUUAUAGUGUUCUGUGUAGGAACGAAUGGUUAGUGAAUCUGAUGUUGUUGAACUUCUGGAGAUAGAGAUGUGCAUUGAAUUUCUUCCUUGCGAGAAAGAGAUUGUGAAAGAUUUUGUGAAAUAAGGUAGGAAUAAAUUGAUUUGAGCAUAGGAUAUGGCUUUGCGGACAAGAGUGAGCAUAGGAUAUGGCUUUGUGGGUGGAAAGAGUGAGUGUAAAGUGGGUGGAAAGAGUGGGUGU